GUAAUGUUUUUGCCCUAUCAUAGAUUUGAAAUACUCAUUUUUAUAUAGUUUUAUAGUAAUUGUGUUAAGCUCAUUCAGUGCUAGUGAAAUUUCAUCAGAAUUAUUCUAGAUUCGAUAUAUUUAGUAGUAAUUGCUAUAUUUAGAUUGAUCUCUUUGUUCUCAAGGAAACAUGAUAAGUUAAACCACAUGUUGACCUAUUAACCUAAAUUGCUGGUGCAACUGAGCCCUUAUUAUGGUGCCCGGUUGCCCUGUAACUGCUUAGUCAGCAAUUAUUUGCCCUAGUAAAGUUUAUAUAAUGGUGCCCUAGAGCCCUUCUAAAAUGAUUACUCAGCAAUAAUAUGCCCUAGUAGGGCAUAUCUUUAUGUUAGUUAUGUAACUGGGCAGAGUAUGGUAUAAAAGGAAAGAGAGAGUUAGUGCGGGAGGAGAGAGAGAAAUAGAGAGUCCGAUUAGUGGUUGUUCGUUAUAUCUACUAU
rnacentral:lncRNA from 1 species